GUGCCCUGCUCACUACGGGCGGCAGGUGAGGGAACACUUGGACCAAACCUAUCAUGCGUAUAUCAAAUUAAAUCGCAUGCAUUGAAAUUCGUAUAUAUGCACUUUAAGAACAAACGUUAUUCACGUAUGGGAUUAAAAUAGAUACCCGUUGCGACAUUACCUAUGGAAAUGAAAUUAUUCGUAAGGUAUGGCAUAAAAAUUAAAUCGAAGUUUAAGAUGUAAAGGGUUUUCGCUAUAAAAAGCGUUGCACGUCAUUGAUAUUUGAUGACAUCAACAAUACACGGCAUUGCCAAAUAUUUCUAAGGUUAUGUUUCUACCAUCCAGAUUCCAGAGGAACAAGAAAAUUCAGAGAUCAUUUUUUGGGCUCCCUGUGUGAAACCAACCUACUGUGCAUCAAUAAAACCCAUUCCUACUGUGCUGUGACGGGUUCAAGGAAAGUGCAGUCCACUAAGUGUAGUACUAUUAGCAUUUUGUUUAUAACGUAUCGCUGCCGUUGUGAGCAGAAAGAUGAGGAAUGUCGGCAUUGCGGCAUUAUGUAAAUGUUUCGGUAGUUAUAAACCAUUGCAUAGGCCAUCAGCAAAUAAAUAUCAAGUUAAUGCUUGCUUGAAAUCUUGACUGAUUUUACGUUAUUUGACCAACUCUUGCUGUAGUGGAAUUUGAGACUAGUAAGUUCAACCGAGACAAAAA